UACGAAGGGGGCUAGCGUUGCUCGGAAUCACUGGGCGUAAAGCGCACGUAGGCGGAUUUUUAAGUCAGGGGUGAAAUCCUGGAGCUCAACUCCAGAACUGCCUUUGAUACUGGGAAUCUCGAGUCCGGAAGAGGUGAGUGGAACUGCGAGUGUAGAGGUGAAAUUCGUAGAUAUUCGCAAGAACACCAGUGGCGAAGGCGGCUCACUGGCCCGAUACUGACGCUGAGGCACGAAAGCGUGGGGAGCAAACAGG
rnacentral:rRNA from 1 species